ACCCGAGGAGACCCCCAUGUGGCUGGAAAGGGUCAGAAGUAGGGGUACGCCCUCACCCCGGAAGUUUGGCACCCACCCUACCACGCCUACCCCAGAAUAUGUCCAGACAUAUCCCGAAGGUGGGCAUGUAACCCCUCUACAAACAUGCCUAGCCACCCUGGACCAAUAGGAACAGGUUUCAGGCUCCGGAAAGGCCCGAGUGCACAGGUGUGAUAAUGGUCGGGUGGCCAUUUUGUGUAAAUUUAUUGGGUGAAAUGGGCCAGAGGAGACCCCACGUGGCUGGAAAGGGUCAGAAGUGGGGGUACGCCCUCACCCCAGAAGUUUGGCACCCACCCUACCACGCCUACCCCAGAAUAUGUCCAGACAUGUCCCGAAGGUGGGCAUGUGACCCCUCUACGAACACACCUAGCCACCCUGGACCAAUAGGAACAGUUUUCAGGCUCUGGAAAGACCCGAGUGUGCAGGUGUGAUAAUGGUCGUUCGGCCAUUUUGUGUAACUUUAUUGGGUGAAACAGGGUCUAGUGAGCCCUCUAUGAACACACCUGGCCAUCCUGAUUCUGUAGGAAUAGUCCGUUUCUCUCUGAGCCACGUUGAUUUCUUUGGAGACCCACUGUUUGAGCGAUCAUAGGUUACCCAGAGAGAUCCUUGGAGGAUAUUGUACAAGAAACAAUUGUAAACUCUAGCCCGAGAAAGCCGUAUAUUAGUACAAGUUCUGAUGAUGAGAAACUCCCGCCAGCCAAGCAUCCUGAAGAAGAAGACCAAGAACUUUAUGAAAUCUGGCAGGGAAUCUUGGAGGCUGCAGCGGUAGCAUCUUUUGGAGACCAGGUAAAUAAACACUGUUGGUGUUACAGGCUUGGGAGUAUGAGAGAGUUCCCCAGGGCUGCAACUUAAAAACUGUGUUCUUUUAUGUUUCCCAGGAGGGUGAGGACUGAUGCCUUGACAAACAGCCUCUAGCAAUGUGGAACUAUACAGAGCCCAGGAACAUGUAUAUCAGGAAUCCUCCUGCAGUGAGAACGCGUCAACCCAGCCAUGUUACUAUGCAGAAUUUCCUAGGACUACAAGUGAAUGAUUCAGAUUACAUACCAGCAAGAAAAAGGUGGUCUGCUAUGAAAGGACUUGUCAGAGUGGGGGUAUAUGGAAUUUUAAAAUACUGUCUGAAGAAUUACAUGCAUGAUUCAUGCUACGGGUGUAUGGCUCAAGCAGGGGGGCAAAACUCACAUGAAUGUGUUAAUUGGACUGAAAGAAAUAUUUCCAGAUUUAUUAGAAUAUUGUCUUCAAGGAUGUGUGUGAAAGAAGUGCUCCACAUAAUUAUUAUAAUUCGUUACAGCUUGAAAAUGUUAAUGCUGACUACAGUGAUACCGUGAAUCAGACUCUAAACCUCAUCAGCAGGGUUAAGGGUUCUGAUGACCCGCAGGUUGUGUUAGAAGCUAUCCCACAACAGAAGGACUCCAGAAUGCUCUCUUUUGUGAACUGUGUCCUCGAAAAAAGAGAGUACAGACACUUUCUUGUUCCAGAGGUAUCUGUAUAAAUUCCCUCGCAAAAGUCUAAAUGUACUAUUGUAUACGGUUGCCCUCUGGUGGUAUGUGUUUUAGUUUUUGUUAAUACAUUCUUCAUAGAAUCUCGAUGCUAAAGAAUUGCAAAUUCUGACUACUUUUGUUUGUCUAUUAAAAUGCUAUUUUAUUAUGUAUCAUUUCAUAAAUAAAAAUGGCCCUGACUCUAAACAAAUGACUGAUUUAUUUUUGCUGGGGAUACCCUAUUACAGACAUACUUUACAAGGGAGUAGGACCUGCCCUGUGGGUGCUGUGGUAGGGUGGGGUCCGACAAGAGGAGGUCGAUGAGUUCAUCAGACAAUGUCCCUCUAGCUGUGGGGAGAUAAUCCCAUCAGCUAGCAUGAAUCUUUACUACUCCCCUAAUCAGCAUGCAUGAGGACAACCAAUCAGAAAGGCCUUGCAAGAUCAUGUGGGCACAGAACUCACAUGGAUAAAACUAGUGUGAAGCAGGAAGUCUCCCUCUUUCACCCUGAAAAACUCCAACAAGCAGGAGCCUGCCGAGAAAGAAGACUAAGGUAUGACUAGCCCCCAUUUUAUAGCUUGUUUUUUCUGCACCAUGCAGUCGGGCCUGCUUUUGAAUCUGUUUGUAUCUUUAGCAAUUUCUUAUUUUAUCUCUGGAGAGCAUGUUGUAGGGACAUGAUUGCUUUUGAAUCUUAUCCACAGAGUCUUUUUUUAAAAAAAAAUGAAAACCCUGACAUUUUUUUAUUUUUAAAUUUUUAUUCUUAAAGCACAUAUUUACACAGGCAGUAUUAUAUAUAGCAUUUUUAAUGUACGCCUCAAGAUCUGUAGAAAUCUAGUAUUCCUAGGGCAGUUUCUGUUCUCUGCAAAAAAGCUCUCCUGCAACAAAUAAAUAAACAGGGUCAUGCAUGCACAACUCACAAUCCUGUAAAUGGUUUAAAUUAAAUAAACUCACCCAGCACACAUGUUCAAGCCAGCCACUCCUCACAAUGUAAUCUGUAAUAAAAAGGGCCAUCCUGUCCAUGAUUUGCUGGCUCACCGCAGGACAUAGACAUUUUGUAAGACUUUUUGUAAGCAAACCGCCGAACAGAAAAAUGGUUAAAAAUCUACCCUUAUUGAUUUUUCCAUCUGCAAAUUCUGCAGUCAUCAUGGAUGUGAAAUAGUUCUCAAUAUCUAGCAAGCUGUUAGGGUGUAGAGAGUCCAUAUGGGGGCUUAGUUCGGCCUCCAUUUUAAGUAGCAAGGGGCCUAUCCCCUUCGGUUCUGGUUUUCCACAGGCCUGUCGAAUACAGUCCAUAGCCAGAGCAUAAACAUGCUGGUAUGCCAUUUGGUGACCGUUUAGGUUCUGGUUGGGGAGGAUAUGUCUGAGCAUGUCCCUGACCGGAUAUUUUUGUAUAUAUUCAACAGCACUCACCAAAAACAAAGAAAGAAAAAAUACCACCAAAGAGGAUGAACAUUAGGGAUGAUGAAAUGAGCACCCUCAAGAUCUCUGAAGAUAACGAAACAGCUGUUCAAGCCCCUCGGCCUGGGAGAGCCACUUUUUCGCUCUCAAAGGGCUCAGACCCAUAUCUCAUCCCAAAGGAGGAGGUUCUCACAACUCAGGCAGUUAGAAACACAGCACCUGUGGACCUGACAAAUACCCAGGGCGGGUUGCAGAAUCUGACUGAGAGUGCUCUAGAGGAAGAGCCUGAACCAGCCCUAUGCGGCUAAAUAAGUUGAAGAGAAAAGCAAAGAUUAAGAGUAGGAGAAAGAAAGAAAGAAAGAAAGAAAGAAAGAAAGAAAGAAAGAAAGAAAGAAAGAAAGAAAGAAAGAAAGAAAGAAAAUGUUUUAACUCUUUGUUUUAUUUAUGUAUAGCUUUUAUUAAUAAAAACUGUAUGAUUCCCUUGUCUGCAGAUGUGGAAUUCCAUGAACAGCAGCAACCCAGACACAAGGCACCCAGAGGCUCCAACGUGGAGGUGCAGCCACACUACAAAAAACCCAGAAAGGCUAUCCUGGAACCUGAACAUGAACCGGGGGUCCGUGAUGACCAAGCGCUGAACCUCCAUGCUAAUGAGUUCUUGGUCAGCAUGUCGCGGGUUACAGAAUACAUACAGACAUUGAUAAGGACUAGGGCAGAGGCUGUUGAACGCAUGACCAAAGCUGAGCAACACCUUGAGCAAGCAAAACGCAUCAUACGUAAAGAAAAGGAAUUGAUUAGUGAUACUUCACAGCAGCUACAAAGUCUAAUAAGAUGUGGAAGCACAAUGUGUGAUUUCGUAGACAGAAAUAAAAAAGAUCAACCAUACCCUGUCUGUAUCUAGCAACCAAAACGGAGGGCAUAGGAAUGCUUCUGAUUCUUCAGACGAAUUUGAACCAUCAGAGGAGUCACAUAGUGACCCCAGUCCUCAGAAUGCUUUUACUGAAGAGUGUGUAACCCAGAAUGGUACCUCUCGAGUAGGUAUGGCCUCUGAUGUUGACCCGAAUGUCUGCCCCGAAAAGUGUGCUACCCACCGUGGAGCCUCUCGAGGAGGUAUGGCGUUCGAUGUUGGACCUGCAGGGGGUUCCCAACAGUUCUCUUCUGAAGAAUCAGCAGGCAUCCCUGAAGAACACCCACCCGUGGAUCUUCAGUUUAUUCAAAGUUAUAAUAGGAACUAUGCACGCUUUGAUGGAACUGAAAUGUAUUAUGAAUUCGAGUUUGUGAAUUUGGACAGAGUACACUCCUUUUGUGAUGCCCUAUUUGGGAUGUGUUCUGCUAUUCAAAUGGUUCUGGAGAAUAUAAACAAUCAUAUAGAACCAGGGGACUUUGUACAGCUCAAAUUGCGAGCGCCAGGGAUUUCAAAUCCCCUUUGCUCGGCAAGGAGACUGACGGGGCAUCUGAAUGCUGAGACAUUCUUAAGUGCUAUGUCUAACCUGCUUCAAAGUUAUGCUCAAAUUUUAGCUGAUGGUGUAUUAACACUGGCUGUGAUUGUCAUUACACCCCCACAAGGUGCGGGUCGCAGGCAUAUAAAAUCUAUAACAGCAUUAUACAGAAAAAGAGGCUGCAUCUGAUAGAUGUCCCCAUGCCUAAUACAGCACUCUGCUUUGCAGCAAGUCUCAUGGCUGUUCUAGAUGUGAGAGCUACCGCUACACAGAUAAAAAAGGGGGCAAAAAAGCUGUACAGGGAUCUUGGGUGGAGUGAGCAAAAAGAAGUGUCUUUUGCAGACGUGGAAACUGUAGAGACACAUAUGAAGGUUAAUAUUGUGGUUGUGCAAUGGGAAGCUUCUGGAUGGAGUGUUUUAAAAACUCCUGAACAGAAGUACCUCAAAACCUGUUUUCUGUUACUUCAUGAUGCUCACUAUUAUGGGGUUAAGAACAUCAAAGGUUUUUUUUGGCUCCAGAAAUUUUUAUGUCUGUUACACUCCCUAUACACACAGCCAUGACUGUCUGAUGAGGUGACACCGCUGUUUAGACUCUGGGUGUGUAAAACGUGUGGGGCGAAUAAUCAGAUGCCCCAAAUGCAAGAUGCAGUGUAGAUCACAUGAAUGCCUAGGAAAGCAUAUGAAGCUCACUGCCAUGGGGCAGGGAGAAUGCAUCCCACAUGAUCUAUGUGAUAAGUGCUUCCACUAUGUCGAGGCGGGUCAUGAAGCUGAACGCGCCUGUAGGGGAAAGCAGUGCCGUGUAUGCUAUAACUACCUUUGCCCUGGGGAAGAACAUGAGUGUUACAUUCCACGUCUACAGUACCCCGAGCUAUCAGUAAAAUAUGUGUUUUAUGACUGAGAAUGCAGGCAGGAGGAUGGGAUCCAUGUCCCAAAUUAUAUUUAUGCCAGGGCAUUUGAAGGGGAACCUGUGGAGCCUGUUAAAGCAUAUCAAGAGAAACAGAAAGAAUGGGAAAAGUGGGGGCCCCAAGGGGAUUAUUGGGAAUUUAAGGGAGGUAAAUGUCUGAUUGACUUUGUAUUAAAAUUUACAUCAGAUAGUAACUUUAUGGGGUGCAGUUUUCUGGCGAAUAAUUCGCGGAGCUACGAUGGGAUCCUCAUCCUGAGAGAGCUAAUCAAAGAAGGCCUCGAUGUAGAGCUGCUCACACGGGGGGAAACUAUGUAUAACAGUUUAAAAUAAUGACAUAAAAUUUAUAGAUUCCCUAUGCCAUCUACCCAUGGUGCUAGCAAAGCUCCCCAACGCUAUGGGUUUUCAGGGUUGUAAGGGUUAUUCCCCACAUUUCUUUAAUAAAAAAGAAAAUGAGAGGUAUAUUGGGAAUAUGCCAGAACCCCUGUACUAUGGUGUGGACGCUAUGAAGCCUGCAGAUAGGGAAGAAUUCAUGAAGUGGUAUGAGGAAAACAAAUCAAAGAUGUUUGACCUGCAGAAGGAAUUGGCCUAUUACUGUCAGAAAGAUGUAGACAUCCUGAUGCAGGCCUGUACAAAAUAUAGGCAUGAAUUGGUUGAGAUGACAUGGGAUGUCGUUGAUAAACCUAAGGGGAGGAAAACUGCCAGGGUGAUGGUGGGUAUCGACCCCUUCCAAUACCCUACGCUUGCUAGUGUGUGUUUAAGAAUGUACCGCUACAAGUAUCUGAAAGGUGAAGAGAUUGCCAUACCAGCCCCAGAUAAUUACCAUCAUCAGUGCAAAAGAUUCUCAACUAUGUCCAUUCAAUGGUUGGAAUACAUAGCCCACAGGGAAAACAUACAUAUUCAGCACGCUCUGAAAGGGGGUGAGUUUAAGGUUGAUAUUCCUCAGGAGCUUCAGGAGGCAUCAGGGGGUGUUAAGGCGUAUUAUUUAGAUGGCUAUUCUGUGAAUGGGGGAAAGAAAUGUGCUUUUGAAUUUAACGGCUGUUUUUAUCACGGGUGUCUAACCUGUUAUUCAGCACACAAACAACACCCUAUGUUGUCGGAAACCUAUGGUUUUCUCUACAAUGCUAGUGAGAGGAAAGCAGAUGUCUUAAAAUGAUUGGGGUUUGAAGUCUGCUGUAUAUGGGAGCAUGAGUGGCAUGUCAAGGUGAACUGGAAGCUCAUGUUUCCUCUGUGCAGUCUCUGUGCAGACUCACAACAGCUGGAGCAAUGCUGCCACAAUGAUGAGGAAAGGGCACUGGUGGGUACAUGGUGUACCGUAGAAUUGGAAGUUGCUGUGGCUAAAGGCUACAGGGUGGCACAGAUCUAUGAGGUUUGGCAUUUUGAAAGGAGGUCUGACAGCCUCUUCUCAGAGUACGUCAAAACAUUUCUCAGGCAGAAGCAGGAGGCUUCUGGCUACCCUGCAGAGUAUGCUAGCAGGGAGGACAGAGAGAAAUACAUUGCUGAGUAUUAUAAGAAGAAGGUGUGUGUUUACGCCCUGAGAUGAUUGAAUCAAACCCUGCUAAACUCCAAAUAGCCAAGCUUUUCUUAAAUUCCUUGUGGGGGAAAUUUGCUCGGAGGACAAACCUCCCUAGGACGUCCAUAGUGAAAAAACCUGAUGAGCUUUCCCAAUACCUCUUUUCAGAUAGCUAUGAGGUCUCUAUGUGUGAAUUCCUUGAUGAUGAUACAUGCUGUGUGUCUUGGAAAGAUGCAAAAGAAUGUAUAGUUCCACCAGGUAACACAAAUGUUUUUCUGGUGUGUUUUACAACCACAUAUGCACGCCUGCAUUUGUACUCUAUCAUGGAGAAGCUGGAGGAACGAUGCCUGUACCAUGACACAGAUUCUGUGAUCUAUGUGUCUCGUGAGGGGGAGUACAAUCCACCCCUUGGAAACUUUUUAGAGGAGCUGACAAACGAACUGCCGGCAGACCAGUACAUAACAGAGUUUGUGAGCACAGGUCCUAAAUCUUACGGCUACAAUCUGUCAGGGGGGUUCAUCGUGUAUUAAGGUCAAGGGGAUUACUCUGAGUUUUUCUAUCAAAAAAUUAAUUUCGACAGUCUAAAAGAUCUGGUUUUUGCCUACGUUUCGGACCAGAAUCCGGCACAUCAGAUUGUGGUAGAGCAGAAUGGCAUAGUUAGAAAUAAGAAAAGAUGGCAGCUAGAAACAGGGCUUUUGAGGAAGACACAGAGUUGUAUUUGAUAAGCGCGUCAUCAUUGAGGGUUUUAAGACUAUACCAUACGGGUAUUAAAAUGGAUGUUCGCUGGCAACACCCCUUCUCCACUAUCCUUGCAGGGUCUAGCAAUAGUGGUAAGAUGUUUUUUCUUUUUAAAAAAUGCUGGACAAAGUACACAGUGUGCUAUCUGUGAUGCCUGAAAAAAUCGUGUGGUGUUACUCUUGUUGGCAGCCUUUGUACAAACAAAUGCUCUGUAAAUACCCUAUAAUAACAUUUGUAGAAGGUAUGCCUGAGAAAAUUGAUGGCAGUGACUUGUUACCACCAAAUAAAAUCUGUUUUCUUGUU